rnacentral:rRNA from 1 species
AUGGCGCAAAAGGCGGCCGACGUAGCAGCCACGAGCGGCGCUGGCAAGGCCAACCCGCACGCGGUGGUGGUGGUGUACCCGCAGCAGGGCCACGUGAUCCCGGUGACGCUCCUCUCGCUGCGCCUGGCGGCACGGGCCUUCGCCGUUACGGUCGUCAACACGGAGGCCGUGCACGACCAGACGGCGCGCGUCGGGGAUGGACGUGCGCUACGAGCUUAUCAGCGACGGCCUUCCCGUGGGGUUCGACUGGUCGCUGAACCACGACGAGUUCAUGGGCUCGCUGCUCCACGCGCACUCCGGCCACGUCGAGGAGGUGCUCGGCCGCGUCGUGGUCGACCCGGCCGCGACGUGCCUCGUCGCCGACACCUUCUUCGUGUGGCCGGUGACGCUGGCCAGCAAGUUCGGCAUCGCGUACGUGUCCUUCUGGACGGAGCCCGCGCUCAUCUUCAACCUCUACUACCACGUUCACCUGCUCACCAACAACGGCCACUUCGAUUGCAACGAGCCUCGGAAGGACACGAUCACCUACAUUCUUGGCGUGCCGGCGAUCGAGCUGCACGAACUCAUACUUCACUCGCUCAUGUCGUACCUCCAGGAGACGGACACCACCAGCGUGGUGCACUACAUCAUCUUCAAGGCCUUCGAAGAGGCGGCGGCGCCGACUACGUUCUCUGCAACACCGUGGAGGAGCUGGAGCCAUCCACCAUCGCCGCCCUCCGCUCCGAGAAACCCUUCUACGCCGUCGGCCCCAUCUUCCCUGCCGGCUUCGCCCGCAGUGCCGUCGCCACCUCCAUGUGGGCCGAGUCCGACUGCUCCCACUGGCUGGACGAACAGCCGCCGGGGUCCGUGCUCUACAUCUCCACACCCCCUGCCUCCGCCACUGUACAUCUCCUUCGGCAGCUAUGCGCACGUCACCAAGCAAGAGCUGCACGAGAUCGCUGGGGGGUCCUGGCCCGCGGUACGAGGUUUCUGUGGGUGAUGCGGCCAGACAUCGUCAGCUCCGACGACCCGAACCCGCUGCCUGAGGGGUUCGUGGCCGCGUCCGCCGGGCGUGGCCUGGUGGUGCCUUGGUGCUGCCAGGUGGAGGUGCUCUCGCACACCGCGCUGGGUGGCUUCCUCACGCACUGCGGGUGGAACUCUGUGCUGGAGAGCGUGUGGGCUGGAGUGCCCAUGCUCUGCUUACCGCUGCUCACCGACCAAUUCACUAACUGGCGACUCAUUGUGCGGGAGUGGAGCGUCGGCAUGCCCAUCGGGGAUCGUGGUGCGGUGUUCGCGGACGAGGUGAGGGCGAGGAUUGCGGGCAUCAUGUCCGGGAAAGUGGGUGAGGAGCUCCGGGAGGCGGUGAAGAAGGUGAGGGCGACGCUCGAGGCCACCAUGACGCACGGUGGGUCAUCACAACAGAGCUUCGAUGAGUUUGUCGACGAGCUAACGCGCCGUUGCAGCGGACGUUAA